UGAACGCUGGCGGUAUGCUUAACACAUGCAAGUCGAACGGAAACGAUACUAGCUUGCUAGUAGGCGUCGAGUGGCGGACGGGUGAGUAACGCGUAGGAAUCUGCCUGAUAGUGGGGGAUAGCCCGAAGAAAUUCGGAUUAAUACCGCAUAAUCUAUUCGUAGUAAAGUGGGGGACUUUCGAGCCUCACGCUAUCAGAUGAGCCUGCGUAAGAUUAGCUUGUUGGUAGGGUAAAAGCCUACCAAGGCGACGAUCUUUAGCUGGUCUGAGAGGAUGAUCAGCCACAUCGGGACUGAGACACGGCCCGAACUCCUACGGGAGGCAGCAGUGGGGAAUAUUGGACAAUGGGGGCAACCCUGAUCCAGCAAUACCGCGUGUGUGAAGAAGGCCUGAGGGUUGUAAAGCACUUUCAAUUGUGAAGAAAAGUUAACGGUUAAUAACCGUUAGCCUUGACGUUAACUUUAGAAGAAGCACCGGCUAACUCCGUGCCAGCAGCCGCGGUAAUACGGAGGGUGCAAGCGUUAAUCGGAAUUACUGGGCGUAAAGCGUGCGUAGGCGGUUUAUUAAGUCAGAUGUGAAAGCCCCGGGCUUAACCUGGGAACUGCAUUUGAAACUGGUCAACUAGAGUAUGGUAGAGGAAAGUGGAAUUUCUGGUGUAGCGGUGAAAUGCGUAGAUAUCAGAAGGAACAUCAAUGGCGAAGGCAGCUUUCUGGACCAAUACUGACGCUGAGGUACGAAAGCGUGGGUAGCAAACAGGAUUAGAUACCCUGGUAGUCCACGCCGUAAACGAUGAUAACUAGCCGUUGGGGGGAUUUACCCUUUAGUGGCGAAGCUAACGCGUUAAGUUAUCCGCCUGGGGAGUACGGCCGCAAGGUUAAAACUCAAAGGAAUUGACGGGGACCCGCACAAGCGGUGGAGCAUGUGGUUUAAUUCGAUGCAACGCGAAGAACCUUACCUGGUCUUGACAUCCUGCGAACUUUCUAGAAAUAGAUUGGUGCCUUCGGGAACGCAGUGACAGGUGCUGCAUGGCUGUCGUCAGCUCGUGUCGUGAGAUGUUGGGUUAAGUCCCGUAACGAGCGCAACCCCUAUCCUUAUUUGCCAGCACAUCAUGGUGGGAACUAUAAGGAGACUGCCGGUGAUAAACCGGAGGAAGGCGGGGACGACGUCAAGUCAUCAUGGCCCUUACGACCAGGGCUACACACGUGCUACAAUGGGAAGGACAAAGAGCCGCGAAGCCGCGAGGUGUAGCUAAUCUCAUAAACCUUUUCGUAGUCCGGAUUGGAGUCUGCAACUCGACUCCAUGAAGUCGGAAUCGCUAGUAAUCGUAGAUCAGAAUGCUACGGUGAAUACGUUCCCGGGUCUUGUACACACCGCC
rnacentral:rRNA from 1 species